GUAGGGAAUAUUGCACAAUGGGCGAAAGCCUGAUGCAGCAACGCCGCGUGCACGAUGAAGGCCUUCGGGUCGUAAAGUGCUUUUCGGGGAGAUGAGCAAGGACAGUAUCCCCGGAAUAAGGAUCGGCUAACUACGUGCCAGCAGCCGCGGUAAAACGUAGGAUCCGAGCGUUAUCCGAAUUUACUGGGCGUAAAGCGCGUGCAGGCGGUUCGGUAAGUUGGAUGUGAAAUCUCCUGGCUCAACUGGGAGAGGUCGUUCAAUACUGUCGGACUAGAGGGUAGGAGAGGGAGGUGGAAUUCCCGGUGUAGUGGUGAAAUGCGUAGAUAUCGGGAGGAACACCUGUGGCGAAAGCGGCCUCCUGGCCUAUUCCUGACGCUCAGACGCGAAAGCUAGGGGAGCGAACGGGAUUAGAAACCCCAGUAGUCC
rnacentral:rRNA from 1 species